CUUAUGCGUUGUUGGGUAGGGGAGCGUUCUGUAAGCCUGUGAAGGUGUACUGUGAGGUAUGCUGGAGGUAUCAGAAGUGCGAAUGCUGACAUAAGUAACGAUAAAGCGGGUGAAAAGCCCGCUCGCCGGAAGACCAAGGGUUCCUGUCCAACGUUAAUCGGGGCAGGGUGAGUCGACCCCUAAGGCGAGGCCGAAAGGCGUAGUCGAUGGGAAACAGGUUAAUAUUCCUGUACUUGGUGUUACUGCGAAGGGGGGACGGAGAAGGCUAUGUUGGCCGGGCGACGGUUGUCCCGGUUUAAGCGUGUAGGCUGGUUUUCCAGGCAAAUCCGGAAAAUCAAGGCUGAGGCGUGAUGACGAGGCACUACGGUGCUGAAGCAACAAAUGCCCUGCUUCCAGGAAAAGCCUCUAAGCAUCAGGUAACAUCAAAUCGUACCCCAAACCGACACAGGUGGUCAGGUAGAGAAUACCAAGGCGCUUGAGAGAACUCGGGUGAAGGAACUAGGCAAAAUGGUGCCGUAACUUCGGGAGAAGGCACGCUGAUAUGUAGGUGAAGCGACUUGCUCGUGGAGCUGAAAUCAGUCGAAGAUACCAGCUGGCUGCAACUGUUUAUUAAAAACACAGCACUGUGCAAACACGAAAGUGGACGUAUACGGUGUGACGCCUGCCCGGUGCCGGAAGGUUAAUUGAUGGGGUUAGCGGUAACGCGAAGCUCUUGAUCGAAGCCCCGGUAAACGGCGGCCGUAACUAUAACGGUCCUAAGGUAGCGAAAUUCCUUGUCGGGUAAGUUCCGACCUGCACGAAUGGCGUAAUGAUGGCCAGGCUGUCUCCACCCGAGACUCAGUGAAAUUGAACUCGCUGUGAAGAUGCAGUGUACCCGCGGCAAGACGGAAAGACCCCGUGAACCUUUACUAUAGCUUGACACUGAACAUUGAGCCUUGAUGUGUAGGAUAGGUGGGAGGCUUUGAAGUGUGGACGCCAGUCUGCAUGGAGCCGACCUUGAAAUACCACCCUUUAAUGUUUGAUGUUCUAACGUUGGCCCCUGAUCGGGGUUGCGGACAGUGUCUGGUGGGUAGUUUGACUGGGGCGGUCUCCUCCUAAAGAGUAACGGAGGAGCACGAAGGUUGGCUAAUCCUGGUCGGACAUCAGGAGGUUAGUGCAAUGGCAUAAGCCAGCUUGACUGCGAGCGUGACGGCGCGAGCAGGUGCGAAAGCAGGUCAUAGUGAUCCGGUGGUUCUGAAUGGAAGGGCCAUCGCUCAACGGAUAAAAGGUACUCCGGGGAUAACAGGCUGAUACCGCCCAAGAGUUCAUAUCGACGGCGGUGUUUGGCACCUCGAUGUCGGCUCAUCACAUCCUGGGGCUGAAGUAGGUCCCAAGGGUAUGGCUGUUCGCCAUUUAAAGUGGUACGCGAGCUGGGUUUAGAACGUCGUGAGACAGUUCGGUCCCUAUCUGCCGUGGGCGCUGGAGAACUGAGGGGGGCUGCUCCUAGUACGAGAGGACCGGAGUGGACGCAUCACUGGUGUUCGGGUUGUCAUGCCAAUGGCACUGCCCGGUAGCUAAAUGCGGAAGAGAUAAGUGCUGAAAGCAUCUAAGCACGAAACUUGCCCCGA
rnacentral:rRNA from 1 species